rnacentral:misc_RNA from 1 species
AGCAGGAUCAUUCCCAAAGAAUUCUCCAAAUCGAAACGAGAGGGGUUGACUGGAGAUCGGCAUCGAAAUGUAGAAUGGAAGGCAUGAGAUCUAGUAAGAGACGGACAGCUUCGACGAUCGAGGCUCGCCUCUCCUCGAAGCAGCCGGCGUGACCCGAACGAGAUCAUGUUAGUAGGUCUACGCGUGCUGCACUAUUAUCGGAAGGCAUGAGUACGAAUCUCGUCGAGAGACAGUGACGCUUCAUCGCGGAUCCAAACUCCGAUUUUCAGAAAGUGUUAGUAAGGUGAUAUACUGCAGCAGGCACUGAUGGCGAUCAACGAUCGAUCUCUCCGUUCCAAUUUGAGAAUGCUAAACGGAGGAAGGAAAUCGAAAUCCCAAUUGAGCGAAAGCUAAUUGUUCCCGUCGAUUGACUGCGGUUGAUCGAUGGCGACCACAAUUGCACUUAUCGGUGGAUGUCUUGGCUCUGGGAUCGAUGAAGACCGCGGCCAGACGCGAUAGUCAAUGGGAAUUGCAGAAGCAUGAGACUCAUCAGGUCGUCGAACGCAUUAGCGGGCUGGGUUCGCCCACGCCCAUCAGCAGUUGAGUGUCGCUUGAAAAUCUAAUCCAUCCCGGUUGAUCCUAUGACACAAAAUCCAUCGUUCACUCGAUGUGUUUCGAGCUGUGGGAUCAAUCGAGAGUUGGAAUGUGAUGGUGCCCGUUGAUCUCGAUCGACGAUGCUCCGUUCAAAUCUAGGGUUCUCAAGGCAUGGAAAAUGAUUGAGCAAUCGAUCAUCGAAGUGUUGAGGAAUGGACCUUCAAAGAGCGACUAUCAAGGAUCCAUCCUCGUUAGUCUCGUGGGGCUUAACAACUCUGUAAGGCAAACGAUCGGCAUGGCUAUCCAAGGAGCUCGGAAUCUCUCUCACCGACCUCAGCUGUUGAAGAUCUACGCGCUGAACUUAAGCAUAUCACUCAGCGCAGGAAAAGAAAGCAACAGCGAUGCUCCUAGUAACGGCGAGUGAACAGGGCAGAGCCCAAGCCUGAACCGGUGUCCUACGGAUAUCCGGAAUGUGGCGCAAGCGGCGGGGAAGAUCCAUCGGCGUUGAGAUAAGUCUCCUGGAAUGGGGUACCCACAGAGGGUGAGAGUCCCGUACAUUCUCAACGUGCCGUAUGGUUUACCUUCCUCGUUUGCACGAGUCGCUCAGUUUGGGAAUGCUGAGCUAAUCGGCAGGUAUCCCUCUGCUAAGGCUAAAUAUCUCCCGGAGGCCGAUAGCGAACAAGUACAGUGAUGGAAAGAUGCAAAGAACUUUGAAAAGAGGGUUAAAAGUCCCUGAAACCGAUGAGUGGUAAGAGUUGGAGAUCCGUCUAAAUCCUGAUCAUUGCUCCUUCACUGGGGCUUAUGGUCAGGACGUCUGGACCUAUUCGGGCUGCCCAAGUUUUGGUUGCGAAUUGGCUUGCCAGUUGCCUCCAUUUUGCUCGGACCAGUCAGGAUAGGAAUGGGUUGAGGAGGUAACCCGCGGUGCACCCUCGGACGGUAAGUGUCGGCGUCUCCGGACAAUGUCCUUGCCCCCGUUGUUGUAUCGUGGUUAAACUCUCGCAGGCCCAUGUCAGACACAGCGAUCUUCUACUACCCGUCUUGAAACACGGACCAAGGAGUCUAACACGUGUGCAAGGCUUAGGGUGUCAAACCCAUAAGCCGCACUGAAAGGGAGAUGUGCCAAUCCUUGAGGACGCAGCACAGCCCGAUCCUGAUUUACUGGAAAGGGAUUUGAGGUUAAGUACACUUGUCGGGACCCGAAAGAUGGUGAACUAUGCCUGGAUAGGACGAAGCCGGGGGAAACCCUGGUGGAGGUCCGUUGCGGUGUUGACGUGCAAAUCGCUCGUCAAAGCUGGGUAUAGGGGCGAAAGACCCAUCGAACCAUCUAGUAGCUGGUUCACUC